GCCUAGCCGUAAAAUAUUUACCUACACCACCCAUCGCCAGGGAACUACAAGCUCAAACUUAAAACCCAAAGGACUUGACGGUGUCCCACUCCCCCUAGAGGAGCCUGUGCUAUAAUCGACAACACCCGCUAAACCCGACUGCUUUUCGACCAUCAGCUUGUAUACUUCCGUCGUAAGCUCACCGUGUUGAAAGACAUAAAGUGAGCCAAAAGGCCCUACCACCAACACGUCAGGUCAAGGUGCAGCCAACAAAGCAGAAAGUAAUGGGCUACUAUUUCUAUGAUAGAACCUACGAAAAGCCGUAUGAAAUAUGGCCACGAAGGAGGAUUUAG
rnacentral:rRNA from 1 species